rnacentral:rRNA from 1 species
AGUGAACGCUGGCGGUAGGCCUAACACAUGCAAGUCGAACGGCAGCACAGUAAGAGCUUGCUCUUACGGGUGGCGAGUGGCGGACGGGUGAGGAAUACAUCGGAAUCUACUUUUUCGUGGGGGAUAACGUAGGGAAACUUACGCUAAUACCGCAUACGACCUACGGGUGAAAGCAGGGGAUCUUCGGACCUUGCGCGAUUGAAUGAGCCGAUGUCGGAUUAGCUAGUUGGCGGGGUAAAGGCCCACCAAGGCGACGAUCCGUAGCUGGUCUGAGAGGAUGAUCAGCCACACUGGAACUGAGACACGGUCCAGACACCUGCGGGAGGCAGCAGUGGGGAAUAUUGGACAAUGGGCGCAAGCCUGAUCCAGCCAUACCGCGUGGGUGAAGAAGGCCUUCGGGUUGUAAAGCCCUUUUGUUGGGAAAGAAAAGCAGCAGGUUAAUACCCCGCUGUUCUGACGGUACCCAAAGAAUAAGCACCGGCUAACUUCGUG